GACGAACGCUGGCGGCGUGCUUAACACAUGCAAGUCGAACGGAAAGGCCCUGCUUUUGUGGGGUGCUCGAGUGGCGAACGGGUGAGUAACACGUGAGUAACCUGCCCUUGACUUUGGGAUAACUUCAGGAAACUGGGGCUAAUACCGGAUAGGAGCUCCUGCUGCAUGGUGGGGGUUGGAAAGUUUCGGCGGUUGGGGAUGGACUCGCGGCUUAUCAGCUUGUUGGUGGGGUAGUGGCUUACCAUGGCUUUGACGGGUAGCCGGCCUGAGAGGGUGACCGGCCACAUUGGGACUGAGAUACGGCCCAGACUCCUACGGGAGGCAGCAGUGGGGAAUAUUGCACAAUGGGCGGAAGCCUGAUGCAGCAACGCCGCGUGCGGGAUGACGGCCUUCGGGUUGUAAACCGCUUUCGCCUGUGACGAAGCGUGAGUGACGGUAAUGGGUAAAGAAGCACCGGCUAACUACGUG
rnacentral:rRNA from 1 species